GCUCUGCAGAAAGGAGAAAGGGUCACUGCUCCAUGGCGAGCUCGGGGAAGAGAAGGGCAUAAGCGGUCCUGGCCGUACAUGGUGGAAGUAGAGAACCGACUCCAGAGAGUUGUCCUCCGACUUGCAUAUGGGUGCCAUGGCAUGCUUCACCAACUCACACCCAUCCUGGACAUGAAGUAAAUAAAAUGAUCAUUUGCAAGGAGGAUGGGAGAGAUGACUACGUGGCAAAUAGCAUUGGUGAUCAGCAAUUCUGAAUCUAAUACUUCCUCUGGAGAAGCAUGACCUCGGCAAUUUAUUUGACCUGUCCUUGCUCCGUUGUUUGGAUCUGCUAAAUUAUUAUGCAAGUACAUCAAGCUUUUAACUCCAAAAAAAAAAAUAGUUUUGAUUCUCGAGCUAAAGU